rnacentral:pre_miRNA from 1 species
AAUUAUGAUUUAGUAUUUGUUAGUUAGUGGGUCAUGUUUUCACCUUCUCUGUAUUAAUUUUGUGCUUGUAUUGUCUCUAUAAAAACUUCCUAUUUAUUAAAUUAAUACAAUAAAAGGUUAAAUCAUCUUUUUCCUUUAAUAAAACUAUCACCGACCCAGAAUUAAUUAUGUAUCUAAAUUUGGAUC